CCUAUGGUAGGCUGCAGUGGGGAAUAUUGGACAAUGGGCGAAAGCCUGAUCCAGCCAUGCCGCGUGUGUGAAGAAGGCCUUCGGGUUGUAAAGCACUUUCAGUGGGGAAGAAAGCCUUGGGGCUAAUACCCUCGAGGAAGGACAUCACCCACAGAAGAAGCACCGGCUAACUCCGUGCCAGCAGCCGCGGUAAUACGGAGGGUGCGAGCGUUAAUCGGAAUUACUGGGCGUAAAGCGCGCGUAGGCGGUCUGAUAAGCCGGUUGUGAAAGCCCCGGGCUCAACCUGGGAACGGCAUCCGGAACUGUCAGGCUAGAGUGCAGGAGAGGAAGGUAGAAUUCCCGGUGUAGCGGUGAAAUGCGUAGAGAUCGGGAGGAAUACCAGUGGCGAAGGCGGCCUUCUGGACUGACACUGACGCUGAGGUGCGAAAGCGUGGGUAGCAAACAGGAUUAGAUACCCCUGUAGUC
rnacentral:rRNA from 1 species